GGGAGACCUUCGGGUCUCUAGUGGCGAACGGGUGAGUAACACGUAGGGAACCUGCCCGCGCACCGGGAAUACGCUCUGGAAACGGAGAACAAAUCCCGAUGUACAGGAAGGAGGCAUCUUCUUUCUGUGAAACAUCCUUUAGGGGAUGGGGCGCGGAUGGACCUGCGGUGCAUUAGUUGGUUGGCGGGGUAAAGGCCCACCAAGACGAUGAUGCAUAGCCGGCCUGAGAGGGCGGACGGCCACAUUGGGACUGAGACACGGCCCAGACUCCUGCGGGAGGCAGCAGUAGGGAAUUUUCGUCAAUGGGCGCAAGCCUGAACGAGCGAUGCCGCGUGAGUGAAGAAGGCCUUCGGGUCGUAAAGCUCUGUUGCGGGGGAAAAAAGGCAGCAUCAGGAAAUGGGUGCUGACUGAUGGUGCCCCGCCAGAAAGUCACGGCUAACUACGUGCCAGCAGCCGCGGUAAUACGUAGGUGGCGAGCGUUAUCCGGAAUGAUUGGGCGUAAAGGGUGCGCAGGCGGUCCUGCAAGUCUGGAGUGAAACGCAUGAGCUCAACUCAUGCAUGGCUUUGGAAACUGGAGGACUGGAGAGCAGGAGAGGGCGGUGGAACUCCAUGUGUAGCGGUAAAAUGCGUAGAUAUAUGGAAGAACACCAGUGGCGAAGGCGGCCGCCUGG
rnacentral:rRNA from 1 species